rnacentral:rRNA from 1 species
UACAGAGACUGCAAGCGUUAUUCGGAUUCACUGGGCGUAAAGGGUGCGCAGGUGGGUUUGCAAGUUCGAUGUGAAAGCCCCGGGCUUAACCCGGGAAUGGCAUUGGAUACUGCAGAUCUGGAGGAUCGGAGGGGGGACUGGAAUUCUUGGUGUAGCAGUGAAAUGCGUAGAUAUCAAGAGGAACACCAGUGGCGAAGGCGAGUCCCUGGACGAUACCUGACACUGAGGCACGAAAGCUAGGGGAGCAAACAGG